CAUAUCAAAAAGCGGAGGAAAAGAAACCAACGGGAUUGCUAGUACGGCGAGUGAAGCGGCAACAGCUCAAAUUUGAAAUUGGCUCUUUCAGAGUCCGAGUUGUAAUUUGCAGAGGGCGCUUUGGCUUUGGCAGCGGUCCAAGUUCCUUGGAACAGGACGUCACAGAGGGUGAGAAUCCCGUACGUGGUCGCUAGCUAUUGCCGUGUAAAGCCCCUUGACGAGUCGAGUUGUUUGGGAAUGCAGCUUAAAUGGGAGGUAAAUUUCUUUAAAGCUAAAUAUUGGCCAGAGACCGAUAGCGCACAAGUAGAGUGAUCGAAAGAUGAAAAGCACUUUGGAAAGAGAGUCAAACAGCACGUGAAAUUGUUGAAAGGGAAGCGCUUGCACCAGACUUGCUUGCAGUUGCUCAUCCGGGCUUUUGCCCGGUGCACUCUUCUGUAGGCAGGCCAGCAUCAGUUUGGGCGGUGGGAUAAAGGUCUCUGUCACGUACCUCUCUUCGGGGAGGCCUUAUAGGGGAGACGACAUACCACCAGCCUAGAUGAGGUCCGCGCAUCUGCUAGGAUGCUGGCGUAAUGGCUGUAAGCGGCCCGUCUUGAACCCGGGACCA
rnacentral:rRNA from 1 species